GGAUGUGAGGGCAAUCUGGAUGUGACAUCUGUCACCCUGUUGAUUUCCAGGGUUGAUUUGGAAGGCAGGUGUCCCCUUCCUCCCCUACUGCCCCAUGUGCAAUCAGAGGAUAACCACCCCGAUAAAGGAAGGCCGUUUCCUUGGGCAAUGAUACCUGACUGGCUGCAUUCCCUGCAGGACCUCCAAAUAAGCCCUCAAGCAAACAUUGUUUUAUUUCAUUUAAUACAGGUGAUGACCUGACAACAUGUCAAAAUAAACAUUUAAUAAGUCAACCAAA
rnacentral:snRNA from 1 species